ensembl:lncRNA
GGGAGGCGGCGGAACCGCGCGGAAAGCGCGGGACCAGCGAAGGAGCCGGCGCCUGCUGGGUGUCCCCCGAGUUGCGCCGCAGCGCGAUCGGCGGACCAGGGUCGAAACACCCGAGGUUUAACUGCCUGCGACUCACGUGUCUGUGCGGCAGCUUCCCUGCGACUUCGGGGGCGGGAGGCCGAGCACCUGUGCGCCGCGCCUCUUGCGGGGACAGCUGCGCGCAUCCCUCAGGCCCGCCGACCGCACCAUCUGACCUGCCCGGAACGAAAUCCGAGCCUCGGAAUUCGAACGGCCCCGCGCACCUCCCUUCUCAGAUAAAUCUCCUAGGAGAGGAUCGUUCCUCUCUACUCAGAGAUUAUUUAGGGAGAUGUCCUGGGCGGGAUAGGUAGACAUACGAUAGCCCAAGGAAAACGUUAAAUUGUAGACACUUAAGCACCAACUGUCUGGAGCCCUGAAGGAAA